GCGAGUCAUUGUAGCAUACAAGGCGGACGGCUCAGUAACACGUAGUCAACCUAACUCGUGGACGUGGAUAACCUCGGGAAACUGAGAAUAAACCACGAUAGAUCAUAGUGCCUGGAAUGGCUUAUGGUCCAAACAGUUUACUGCCAUGGGAUGGGACUGCGGCCUAUCAGCUUGUUGGUGAGGUAAUGGCCCACCAAGGCGAUUACAGGUACGGGCUCUGAGAGGAGAAGCCCGGAGAUGGGUACUGAGACACGGACCCAGGCCCUAUGGGGCGCAGCAGGCGAGAAACCUUAGCAAUGUGCGAAAGCACGACUGGGUCAGUCCGAGUGAUUCCUGAUAAAGGAGUCUUUUGCUUGUCCUAAAAGCACAGGUGAAUAAGGGGUGGGCAAGUCUGGUGUCAGCCGCCGCGGUAAUACCAGCACCUCGAGUGGUCAGGACGUUUAUUGGGCCUAAAGCAUCCGUAGCCGGCUUUGCAAGUCUUCGGUUAAAUCCACCUGCUCAACAGAUGGGCCGCUGGAGAUACUACAGAGCUAGGGAGUGGGAGAGGCAGACGGUAUUCAGUGGGUAGGGGUAAAAUCCUCUGAUCCAUUGAGGACCACCAGUGGCGAAGGCGGUCUGCCAGAACACGUUCGACGGUGAGGGAUGAAAGCUGGGGGAGCAAACCGGAUUAGAUACCCGGGUAGUCCCAGCUGUAA
rnacentral:rRNA from 1 species